GAGCCGGGGGGGGGGCCUAUCAUGCAGUCGAGCGUGAACAAUGGGAGGCUGCUCCCUGAUGUUAGCGGCGGACGGGUGAGUAACACGUGGGUAACCUGCCUGUAAGACUGGGAUAACUCCGGGAAACCGGGGCUAAUACCGGAUGCUUGUUUGAACCGCAUGGUUCAGACAUAAAAGGUGGCUUCGGCUACCACUUACAGAUGGACCCGCGGCGCAUUAGCUAGUUGGUGAGGUAACGGCUCACCAAGGCAACGAUGCGUAGCCGACCUGAGAGGGUGAUCGGCCACACUGGGACUGAGACACGGCCCAGACUCCUACGGGAGGCAGCAGUAGGGAAUCUUCCGCAAUGGACGAAAGUCUGACGGAGCAACGCCGCGUGAGUGAUGAAGGUUUUCGGAUCGUAAAGCUCUGUUGUUAGGGAAGAACAAGUGCCGUUCAAAUAGGGCGGCACCUUGACGGUACCUAACCAGAAAGCCACGGCUAACUACGUGCCAGCAGCCGCGGUAAUACGUAGGUGGCAAGCGUUGUCCGGAAUUAUUGGGCGUAAAGGGCUCGCAGGCGGUUUCUUAAGUCUGAUGUGAAAGCCCCCGGCUCAACCGGGGAGGGUCAUUGGAAACUGGGGAACUUGAGUGCAGAAGAGGAGAGUGGAAUUCCACGUGUAGCGGUGAAAUGCGUAGAGAUGUGGAGGAACACCAGUGGCGAAGGCGACUCUCUGGUCUGUAACUGACGCUGAGGAGCGAAAGCGUGGGGAGCGAACAGGAUUAGAUACCCUGGUAGUCCACGCCGUAAACGAUGAGUGCUAAGUGUUAGGGGGUUUCCGCCCCUUAGUGCUGCAGCUAACGCAUUAAGCACUCCGCCUGGGGAGUACGGGUCGCAAGACUGAAACUCAAAGGAAUUGACGGGGGCCCGCACAAGCGGUGGAGCAUGUGGUUUAAUUUCGAAGCAACGCGAAGAACCUUACCAGGUCUUGACAUCCUUCUGACCAUUCCUAGAGAUAGGACGUCCCCUUCGGGGGCAGAGUGACAGGUGGUGCAUGGUUGUCGUCAGCUCGUGCUCGUGAGAUGUUAGGUUAAAGUCCCGCCACGAGCCGCAACCCUUUGAAUCUUAAGUUGCCAGCAUUCAGUUUGGCAUCUCUAGUGAACUGCUCGUUGACAAUCCGAGAACGGUGUGGAUGACCGUUCCAAUCACUCUUCCCUAGACUGGUCCUACACACGCUCUACAAUUGGACAAAAUCAAAAGGACACGCAAACUCGCCCAGAGU
rnacentral:rRNA from 2 species